UGGGUAACCUGCCUCAAAGAGGGGAAUAGCCUCCCCGGAAAAGGGGAGAUUAAUACCGCAUAAUAUGUUUUAAUCGCAUGAUUUUAACAUCAAAAGGAUUUUCUUCGGAACUUCCACUUUGAGAUGGACCCGCGGCGCAUUAGCUAGUUGGUGAGGUAACGGCUCACCAAGGCAACGAUGCGUAGCCGACCUGAGAGGGUGAUCGGCCACAUUGGAACUGAGACACGGUCCAGACCUCCGUAGGGACGG
rnacentral:rRNA from 1 species